rnacentral:rRNA from 1 species
CCUACGGGUGGCAGCAGUGGGGAAUAUUGCACAAUGGGGGAAACCCUGAUGCAGCGACGCCGCGUGAGUGAAGAAGGAUGUCGGUAUGUUAAGCUCUAUCAGCAGUGAAGAAAAUGCCGGUACCUGAUGAAGAAUGACCGGCUAACUACGUGCCAGCAGCACCGGCACUACGGAGGGGGCAAGCGUUAUCCGGAUUUACGGGGUGUAAAGGGGGCGUAGAGGGGAGCACAAGUCGUGAGUGAAAUGCCGGUGCUUAACACCGGAACUGCCUUUGAAACUGUGCAGCUAGAGAGCAGGAGAGGUAAGUGGAAUGCCUGGUGUAGCGGUGAAAGGCGUAGAGAUUAGGAAGAACACCAGUGGCGAAGGCGGCUUACUGAACUGUAACUGACGUUGAGGCUCGAAAGCGUGGGGAGCAAACAGGAUUAGAUACCCCAGUAGUC